CCUACGGGGGGCAGCAGUAGGGAAUAUUGCUCAAUGGGGGAAACCCUGAAGCAGCAACGCCGCGUGGAGGAUGAAGGUUUUCGGAUUGUAAACUCCUUUUGUUAGAGAAGAUAAUGACGGUAUCUAACGAAUAAGCACCGGCUAAAUCCGUGCCAGCAGCCGCGGUAAUACGGAGGGUGCAAGCGUUACUCGGAAUCACUGGGCGUAAAGGGCGCGUAGGCGGGAUAGCAAGUCAGAUGUUAAAUCCUAUGGCUUAACCAUAGAACUGCAUUUGAAACUGUUAUUCUAGAGUAUGGGAGAGGUAGGUGGAAUGCUUGGUGUAGGGGUAAAAUCCGUAGAGAUCAAGAGGAAUACUCAUUGCGAAGGCGACCUGCUAGAACAUAACUGACGCUGAUGCGCGAAGGCGUGGGGAGCAAACAGGAUUAGAUACCCGGGUAGUC
rnacentral:rRNA from 1 species